AGCAGUAGCCGCGGGAAUACGGAGGGUGCAAGCGUUAUCCGGAUUUAUUGGGUUUAAAGGGUCCGUAGGCGGAUCUGUAAGUCAGUGGUGAAAUCUCACAGCUUAACUGUGAAACUGCCAUUGAUACUGCAGGUCUUGAGUAAAUUUGAAGUGGCUGGAAUAAGUAGUGUAGCGGUGAAAUGCAUAGAUAUUACUUAGAACACCAAUUGCGAAGGCAGGUCACUAAGAUUUAACUGACGCUGAUGGACGAAAGCGUGGGGAGCGAACAGGAUUAGAUACCCCGGUAGUCCCUGUCUCUUAUAC
rnacentral:rRNA from 1 species